AGUUUUACCAUAUGUGUUUUCUUUUACACAGGGCAAGACAUCUUUGAUGAUGAGUUAAAUGUCUGUUUCCUUCUACUCUACAAAAAUCCCUUUAUUAUACUAAGGGAAAAUAAACUCACUUGAUGUAUUCGUUGAUACUCUAUUCUCAACAGAAUGUCCAGAAGUGUCUUCUGUGAAGCAGGAACCUGAAGAACCAUCCUUCCUUGUGUUGGCAAAGAUUAUCCAUCACUUUCCUGUGGGUCCUGCAUGUCCAGUUUGGAGCAUACUUUCAAGCAGUCCAAAUAAGAACAGUGUCUUGCACAAAUGGCUAGCCUUGCCACAUUGAAAGCAAACUCCAUAGGGAGUAUCCUCGGUGCCCAUUAUACUCUUUGUAGUAGUUGAUGCUGCCAGGAGCAGAUAUGUUUCACUGUUGAGAAAAGUCUAAGUUAUCAAAACAUUUUAAAUGUCAUAUUCUGUAGAUCUUUGAAGAGUUUGAAGUUUCCUACCUAAUUGAAAUAUAUCUUUGUAUAUCUAAAAAACCUAA